rnacentral:rRNA from 1 species
CAGCAGCCGCGGGAAUACGGAGGGUGCAAGCGUUAAUCGGAAUUACUGGGCGUAAAGCGCACGCAGGCGGUUUGUUAAGUCAGAUGUGAAAUCCCCGAGCUUAACUUGGGAACUGCAUUUGAAACUGACAAGCUAGAGUCUUGUAGAGGGGGGUAGAAUUCCAGGUGUAGCGGUGAAAUGCGUAGAGAUCUGGAGGAAUACCGGUGGCGAAGGCGGCCCCCUGGACAAAGACUGACGCUCAGGUGCGAAAGCGUGGGGAGCAAACAGGAUUAGAUACCCCGGUAGUCCCUGUCUCUUAUAC